rnacentral:tRNA from 1 species
GAGGGUGUAGCUCAAGUGGUAGAGUGCAUGCUUUGCAUGCAUGAGGUCCUGGGUUCUGUCCCCAGUACCCCCU